UACGUAGGGGGCAAGCGUUGUCCGGAUUCAUUGGGCGUAAAGAGCGUGUAGGCGGCCAGGUAGGUCGGUUGUGAAAACUGGAGGCUCAACCUUCAGAGGUCGACCGAAACCAUCUGGCUAGAGUCCGGGAGAGGAGAGUGGAAUUCCUGGUGUAGAGGUGAAAUUCGUAGAUAUCGGGAGGAACAUCAGUGGCGAAGGCGGCCUCUGGUCCAGUACUGACACUCAAGUGCGAAAGCGUGGGGAGCAACGAGG
rnacentral:rRNA from 1 species